UAAAGUGCGAAAUGUAGUGCGAUUUGCAUGAAUCUGUGAGUCAUCUAAUCUUUGAACGCAACUUGCGCCUCUUUGAGGCAUGUCUGUUCGAGUACCGCAUCCUUAUUAUGCGUGUAUAUGCGAGAUGAUCUAGUAGUUAUUACUAGAUUUAAACGGAGCAAGUAAGGGAAGAGUUUGAUAUCUCUAAUGAGCUAGAGACGCAAGUCUUGUCAUUGGAGCUAUUGACCUUGUUCCUUUCUUCUUGACUUUGGUCUCGAAUCAGGCAAGACUACCCGCUGAACUUAA
rnacentral:misc_RNA from 1 species